GGCCGCAUGGAACCCGCACGCUGGUCGCGUGUGCUGAACAUGGUUGGAGGUGAUUCUUCUACGCGGGCAAGGAAUGGGCCGCACAUAAGCUGCACAAGACCCUAUGCGGGCCGCAUGGAUUUUCACGCGGGCCACGUGACUUCCUGCACUUCAAAAUUUGAAAUUUUUCUAAAAACUUGAUUUUUGGCCAAAAUGAUUCCCGCAAAGUCCCGGUUUCAAAAUCACAACAAAAGGUUUGGAUCAAAGGUGAGAAUAAAGCUUAAAUUUUUUCAAAAAUGAACAUUUUCAAAACAAAAAAAAACAUUUUCAAAAUCAUUUUAUUCGGUUUAUAAAAGACAAAAGCACAAUGUUUCCCAAAAAUGCCCUUCUUUAACGUCUUUGGCGAGACGCCUCGAAACUUCACUUUAACACUUUGGGGCGUCCAAAUGGACGACAUCUUGUACAUUUGAAUCAAAACCUUCAUAGAAAGGCUUCAACCGAUGUCCAUUAACAUUGAAAAUUUGCCCCGUCUCAACAAUUUUUAAUUUCCACAUCUCCAUUAGAACUCUUUUCUUGUAUUUGACUUUCUUUUUACGGGAAAACCAUACCGGACAUAGACCUUUGAUAAUAGAAAGCAUCCAACCAUAUUAUUUAUUGUACUUGUUCAGUAAGGUGACCAACUCUUCCCUCAUUGACAUGGUGGUAGAGUUGGUGACCGGUUGGGUGUCUUCCUUCUCGGGAUAUGUAUCAAUUAAAAGGUCUAACAAAUUUAUCGUUUUCAUCUCUUUUGGUUCGUCUACCGCUUGAGUUAGUUUCUCAAUGGUAGUGGGUGGCUCAACCUCUCUUUUGUUAACACCAAAAACUUACGCUAUAGUUUCAUUGACAUCUUUCUCAAUUUCUUCUUCCUCCUUGAUAGUGUCUUCCAUUUCUACGCCUUCUUCCUCGUCUCCAUAUAACACUCUUGGGCCAUCAAAACUUUUAUCAUCUAUCAAAGGAAUGGCACAGGGCUCUCUUUAGAUGGUAGUUUGUCUUGAUCUUCCAUUAUACUUAUUGUUUGAGCAAGUUGUGUUAUUUUUUGCACUAAGCUUUUGAGGCUAGCUUGCGUUGUUUCCUGGAAAUUUUGGGUAGAUGUGGCAAUGCUCUUCACAAUGUCCUCUAAGGACAUGCUUGGCGUUUUAGGUUGUUAAGGAGGUGGAGGAUAUGGAUAUUGGAACUGUGGAGGUUGUUGGUAUUGGUCACUUCUCUAACCUUGGUAUGAGUUUUGGUAUUGGUUGUAUCCCCAAGCUUGGUUGUUGUCCCACCCUUGAUCCUAUUGAGGUUGAUCAUAACUCAACUGGGUUGACCAGUAGUAGCUUCCCUUCUUUUGCACUACUUCCCAUUCUCCUUGUAAAUAUGGACACAUGUCAGAUUGAUGUCCAUUUUGGGCACAAAAAUCAUAAUGAAAAGGUGUGGGUUGCACACUAUGCUCACUUUCAAUCAUCAUAACUAACUGAGCUAGCUCAGAAAGUUUUAUCUUCAAUGCUAGGAGUGUUCAUUCCCGAACCACACUUUUUUUCUUCAAUUUUUGAGGUUUAAACUAGAGUACCAGCACAAUGACAUCUAGGCGUAGAGAAACAAACUGAUUAAAUCAAAACCAAUCCCCGGCAACGGCGCCAAAAUUUGGUGGUUGUCGAGGCCAACAAAAUCAAUAACCCUAAAUCUUUUACACUAAAAUAGUGUAUAGUGGUAAAGGGAUCGAAUCUACGGAGAUUGGUUCAAUUUAUAACUCUAUAAAAAAUCUCUUUGUAAAAAUACUUGUAAAAUAACAAUAAAAAUAAAAUGGGGGGUGGGGGGGGNNNNNNNUUUGGUGUUUUGAAAUACUUGAAACAAACUAGAAUUAAGUAAGAUUUAAAUAGACAAUUUCAACAAAAACAAGGGUUUGAUGUAAAAUCAAUAAGAGAGAGAUGGUUGAUUUAAGGUUUCCUCACUUUUCCUCUUGAUGAACAUAUCAUUAGAAUCCAAUGGGGCAACACUUUGAUUUAAAUCCGUAAUUUGGCUAUAGUAAUCCAAAGAGCUUGAGAUUACCUAGACUUUUCUUAAUUAUUGAAAUGGCUAGAGAAGCUCAUAACAAUUUCCUUGGUCAAAGUCACUAAUUCUAAAUAGCAUGUAAUUAGUGAAAGUCAACUAGCAUUAAGAACCAAAAAAGUCACCAAAUCCAAGAGGAGUCAAUUGAUUUCACAACCAUGUUGGAGAAAAUGUUUUUGUGAUUGUGUGAAGAAGAACAACACAAAAAUCAUUUGUUGCUUGCUAAUUUGAGGAUCCUUUACUUAUUCAAGAAAUUAGCCAACUAAUCACCAUAAACACAUCUAAACUCAUGAAUAAAAACAUACUAGUAGUGAUAAUAUGAUAAAGCACAAAACAUUUCCAUAAAGAUUUAAGAACAAGUUCAUGGAUUCUUCAACAUUCAAUAAAAGUUCAAAGGAUUCAACAAAAAGUCAACCAAGAUUAGUUUAUCCAAGCAUGACUAAACUCAAAGAAACAAAGUUAGUUAAGAUUGUACGAAACAUUUGACAAGAAUCAAGAGAUGAAAAGAAGACAUUCUUGAGGUGUUCUUGGCCUUCAAAAGUGCUCCAAACUCCAGAGAGAACGUGUCAAACUCAGACCUCCAAGAUAAGGCUGAAGAGGCACACCAACCUUCCCAACAUAGAGCUCUAGACAAAAUCCCGAAUUUGCCCUUGUUAGGAAUCCAUGCGGGCCGCGGGGAAUCUUACGCGGGCUACGUGACUAUGAAAAGCUUUUGGGAUUCUUCAAUAUUUGUGCCCCUACAGGUUAACCAUUGGCCCAGUUCGAGUCUAAUAAGCUUCUAGCCCAUUUUUCUUCAAUAUCUCUUCAAUUUGAGCCCAAUUUGCCUCUCCCGAUCACUCAAAGCUUCCGCAAACUCCUAAACAUCGAUCUUGCACACUCAAGAAUUCUCCCGUACCUUUCAAAUUUAAAGUUCAACACUUCCAUGCCUUCAAGCAAUUGACAAGCCCACUCCAUGAAUCACCUGCACAACCAUCAAGCACGAAAUCCCCAUUGCUCUUCAAGUCCAAUCGCCUCCCAAAAAUCCCGCUCCGCUAGUCUCCAAAAAAUCUGCAAUAAUGCUCAAGAAACUAGAAAGUACCCGAAAUGGUUAAAAAAAUAACAAAAAGGAAAAUAUGCAUAGAAAUUAACUAAAAUGCGAAUGAAAUGUGCUAAAAAAAACUAUAAAAAGAAGUAAAUAAAAUGAAGCUAUCAAAUCACCCUAAGCUUAAACCUUACUUGUUCUCAAGUAAGACUAGACUAGAAUGAACUCGGGAUGAACUACCCUAAGGAAAAUAAAAAGAAUGGAUAGAACCACGGAACCUGAUCACCGUUAGUAAACAUGGUCAGAAUUGAUCACGCUAUUACCUCACAAAAUUUUCAUCCGAUGACAAUGGAACCAUAAACCAUAGCCAGGACAAUUCCUUUAGGUGAGUAAGGAGGGAUGAGCAGUCGCAGCCCCAAUGAAACAUGCAUACAACGAAAAACAUCAGUAGUAGGAAGAAAGCAGCUGGAUAGGCUCGUGUGGAGAACUUCUUUUAAUUUUACACUCUGAUCUCACGUCUGUCGGCUACUCUCAUGUGUAAUUGGGUUUAAUCGCUCGGGCACCGUUGUAGGAAUCGGUUCACUUAGUGUUGGCCCAAACUUCCCGUAGUAUCCAACUUGACAGUCUCUCUAACAUCACCAAUUUGCGACAAAAAACUUGAUCUAUAUACAAUAAAAAAAGCCUAUACAAAUGAAAAUCAAACGUUGGGUGACCAAAAUGUUGGAAAAGUUGUUCAGUAAUUAAACCGGUCACCUAUUUAAGAUAGUUGCAGCUGGAAAUUCACGUGCUAUUCGUUUUCUCUCUCUUUUUUUUCUUUUUUGAUAAACUUGAAGGUAAUGUAUCAACAAUCAAAAUUUUUAACAAGAACCAUUUUACUCAUAAUUUGGUUCCCAAAAGUGUGAAAGUGGAACUGAAAGGGUAGUGAUAUAACCUGAAUGGUCUAAGUGUGACAAUGACCAUGUGUGGAGCAUAAAGAUGUAAUGUAAGCUCCUUUUCAAACUUGUGAUUUUUCAAAGAUGAUGAAAAUUUCAAAAUGUGGACUAAAAGACUCUCUAAAAUACUAAAAAAAUCGUAAAAAAAUAUGGUGAUGUAAAGAGAUCGAAUAUGGAUUCUACUCGGGGACAAGCACCCGUGCUUCAUCCUAUCGGUUCAAACAUGAUCAAGUGUGAUCCUCUUGGCGGCGUUAACCGCAAUGCUAAGAACAUCCAUUGCUAUAGUAUAUCCUACAGUUGUUAGUAUUGCAUGAAUAAUUCUUCACAAAACUACGUGGCCAUGAUCACUUACCCCUUUAAGCUUCAAGCAUCUGAUCCCGAGUAUGAAAUCCCAAACUGCAACUAGUGGUCUUGGUUCGAUGGGUGAGAUAACAACAAGAUCCUGGAACAAUAAUGAUAUAAUAAUUAUGAACCUGUUCCAUGGUAUCCAAGGAGGUGAGAAAAAACAGACAACAAAAAUGCAUGAAUGCUAAUGCCUUAAGCUAAAUGUUAUGCAAAAAUAAAAAGUGGAAAAGAAGAAAAUAAAAUCUUUUUGAAAUUUUAUUAAAAAAAAAUGAAUGCAAAUUAACUUUAACUAAUAUGUUAUGCAACCUAACUAAAGAAAAAUGCAUGAAAAAUUAAAAGAUAAGGGAAAUGCCCCACCCCAAGCUUAAGAACAAGCAUUGUUCUCAAUGCUUAAGGAAAGGGCAGAAAGGACCUAAAUCGGAGGGUUGGGUAGAUCAUAGGGGUUCAUAGAGGAGGAAAAAUAGUGAAUAAUGGUGGUGGUCUCGUGGGAUUCCGACCGGUAGAUCUGCAGGUAAUCGAGUUUUUAUGUGGAGCGCGGGCGGGGCGCGAGCCGUGUAGAGGCUGCGUCUAUUUUCCUUAUUUUUUCCUCGAGUGAAUAGAAGAGCUAGAGAAAAUUUUGGUAUGAGACAUGCGGGAUGCGUGGAACCCACAUGAUGGCUGCAAAAAGUCUUACGCGGGCCGCAUGGAAACCGCAUGCUGGCCGUGUGUGCUGAACAUGGUAGGAGGUGAUUCUUCUACGCGGGCAAGGAAUGGGCCGCACAUAAGCUGCACAAGACCCUAUGCGGGCCGCGUGACUUCCUACACUUCAAAAUUUGAAAUUUUUCUAAAAACUUGAUUUUUGGCCAAAAUGAUUCCCGCAAAGUCCCGGUUUCAAAAACACAACAAAAGGUUUGGAUCAAAAGUGAGAAUAAAGCUUAGAUUUUUUCAAAAGUGAACAUUUUGAAAACAAAAAAAAAAACAUUUUCGAAAUCAUUUUAUUCGGUUUAUAAAAGACAAAAGCACAAUGCUUCCCAAAAAUGCCCUUCUUUAAUGUCUUUGGCGAGACGCCUCGAAACUUCACUUUAACACUUUGGGGCGUCCAAAUGGACGACAUCUUGUACAUUUGAAUCAAAACCUUCAUAGAAAGGCUUCAACCGAUGUCCAUUAACAUUGAAAAUUUGCCCCGUCUCAACAAUUUUUAAUUUCCACAUCUCCAUUAGAACUCUUUUCUUGUAUUUGACUUUCUUUUUACGGGAAAACCAUACCGGACUUAAACCUUUGAUAAUAGAAAGCAUCCAACCAUAUUAUUUAUUGUACUUGUUAAGUAAGGUGACCAACUCAUCGCUCAUUGACAUGGUGGUAGAGUUGGUGACCGGUUGGGUGUCUUCCUUCUCGGGAUAUGUAUCAAUUAAAAGGUCUAACAGAUUUAUCGUUUUCAUCUCUUUUGGUUCGUCUACCGCUUGAGUUAGUUUCUCAAUGGUAGUGGGUGGCUCAACCUCUCUUUUGUUAACACCAAAAACUUACGCUAUAGUUUCAUUGACAUUUUUCUCAAUUUCUUCUUCCUCCUUGAUAGCGUCUUCCAUUUCUACGCCUUCUUCCUCUUCUCCAUAUAACACUCUUGGGCCAUCAAAACUUUUAUCAUCUAUCAAAGGAAUGGCACAGGGCUCUCUUUAGAUGGUAGUUUGUCUUGAUCUUCCAUUAUACUUAUUGUUUGAGCAAGUUGUGUUAUUUUUUGCACUAAGCUUUUGAGGCUAGCUUGCGUUGUUUCCUGGAAAUUUUGGGUAGAUGUGGCAAUGCUCUUCACAAUGUCCUCUAAGGACAUGCUUGGCGUUUUAGGUUGUUAAGGAGGUGGAGGAUAUGGAUAUUGGAACUGUGGAGGUUGUUGGUAUUGGUCACUUCUCUAACCUUGGUAUGAGUUUUGGUAUUGGUUGUAUCCCCAAGCUUGGUUGUUGUCCCACCAUUGAUCCUAUU
rnacentral:lncRNA from 1 species